rnacentral:rRNA from 1 species
UACGUAGGGUGCGAGCGUUGUCCGGAAUUACUGGGCGUAAAGGGCUCGUAGGCGGCCAACUAAGUCAGACGUGAAAUCCCUCGGCUUAACCGGGGAACUGCGUCUGAUACUGGAUGGCUUGGAUUUGGGAGAGGGAUGCGGAAUUCCAGGUGUAGCGGUGAAAUGCGUAGAUAUCUGGAGGAACACCGGUGGCGAAGGCGGCAUCCUGGACCAAUAUUGACGCUGAGGAGCGAAAGCUAGGGGAGCAAACGGG